UUUUACAAAUCCAACGCAUUAUUUCCUUAUUGGAUAUAAUUAGCUAUAAAAGUAAAUAAAAACUUGAUCUUUGCAGAAGUUGGUUAGAGUUUAUCAUUCAGUCAUCCAUGGCGAUAUUAUACAGAGUGAGAGGAGUACUUUCUAUCUUCAACACCAAACUAUAUGCUUCUAUUCGCGGCUUCUCUACAUCUCCACCCUUUUCGCAAUUUGAGAAUGUUGGAUUCAUUGGGCUGGGAAAUAUGGGAUCCAGAAUGGCAAACAAUCUAAUUAAGGCUGGGUACAAAGUGACUGUUCAUGACAUAAACCAUAAUGUCAUCAAGAUGUUUACUGACAUGGGAGUUCCAUCAAAGCAAACACCAUUUGAAGUUGCAGAAGCAAGUGAUGUUGUAAUUACAAUGUUGCCCUCAACAUCUCAUGUUUUGGAUGUCUACACUGGACCAAAUGGUUUGCUUUAUGGUGGAAAUAUCGUGAGGCCACGACUAUUGAUAAAUUCAUCUACCAUUGAUCCAGAAACAUCAAGAAAGCUUUCUGCAACUGUGUCUAACUUUGUUUUAACAGAGAAGAAAGACCAAUGGGAGAAACCUGUCAUGUUGGAUGCUCCUGUCUCCGGAGGUGUUCUUGCUGCAGAAGCAGGUACUCUCACUUUUAUGGUUGGUGGCUGCGAGGAAGCUUACCUUGCUGCCAAAUCCUUGUUUUUGUCCAUGGGCAAAAACAGUAUUUAUUGUGGUGGAGCUGGAACUGGUUCAGCAGCAAAAAUUUGCAACAAUUUGGCGAUGGCUGUGAGCAUGAUUGGAGUAUCGGAAGCCCUUGCUCUUGGUCAGUCACUUGGCAUUCGUGCUGACCCUCUAUCAAAGGUUUUUAACUCUUCAACUGCUCGAUGUUGGAGUAGGGCUGAAAAUGGGGUCCUUUUUAUGUGUGAGUUGAACAUGCAGAUAUCAGUUCUCUAUGAUAUGCAGAAAGCAAGAAUGACAUUUCUCUCCCAUGUUGAGCUCUGCUGAUGUUGAGUCUUGCACUCUAACCUUCUGUUUUUAUUAAACCUCCAAUAUGGCAGUGAUAGUUAUAACCCAGUUCCUGGAGUAAUGCAAGGGGUUCCUGCUUCUAGGGAUUAUACUGGUGGAUUUUCAUCUAAGCUCAUGGCUAAAGACUUGAACCUUGUUGCCGCAUCGGCCAAACUGACUGGUCUUAAAUGCCCUCUGACAUCCCAAGCAUUAGAGAUAUACACUGAGCUCUGCGAGGAUGGUCACGAAAUGAAGGAUUUCUCCUGUGUUUUUCGCCAUUAUUACUUUGGCAAGGAUGAGAAGUAGCUUCAUAAAUGCGAGGUAUUGAUUAUGGGGGAAAGGAAAGAUGGAGCAAACUCAUUCUACUUUGAGGUGGGGAUCAAAAACAACGUUAGAAAAGUGCAUGAUGUCCGUAAAAGGAUCGAACUCAAAUUUAGGCUUGAUACAAGCUCGAGUUUAAGCUCGUAUUUAGGCUCAUUAAGAGCUCGAUACAAACUCGAAUUUGAACUCAAUAAUAGCUAAUCAAUAAACUUUUUUGCUUAAUACUAUUUUAAUAACUAUUUUUAUUAUCAAAAAAUAUUGCUUUCAAUUAGAAACACAACAA